CGAGCCUCCCCUCCCCUCGAUCCGUUUCCUGGUUCCAUCGUCAAGGACGCCCCAGCCGCGGAGCCCUUGGCCGCCUCUGAGAUCCGAGAGGAACCAUCCGGCUCUCGCGUUGGCCGCCGCCAGUGCGGCUCCACCCCUUUCUCCCCCAUCGAUCCCCAGCACCUCCUCGCUGUUCCCAAUCCCAUCCUAUGCGCGCCCCUGCGGCUAACCCUAGCCGCCAACUCGUGUUGCGGCCGCGUCACCGGCCGCUUGGGUGCAGAAGGAGUGGCAGCGGUGGCGCCGUGCUGGGGCGGAGGAGAAGGAUAGCGAUGUGAAGGUAGCGCCGUCCCAGAUUGAGGUGGAAUCCGGUGAGAAGCGCCUAAACAAGCUCGGUUACAAGGAAGAGCUCCAGAGGGAGAUGACGCUGUUCAAGACGCUGGCCAUCACUUUCUCCAGGAUGAUGAUCUUCACCGGGAUCACGUCUUUGUACGGUAGCAUCCUCCGGUACGCGAGGCCGUCCAGCCUCGUGCGCGGCUGGGUCAUCAUCUCCUUCUUCACCUGGUUCAUCGGUGUCGUCAUGUUGGGGAUUUCUCCUUCCCUGUAAGCACACACCUUCCCAUAACUCGCCAGAUUCAAGAAUCAACCCUAUCUGUGAUUGAAAUUUAGUGCUCUGUUUAUCCGUUGCUUAUAACAUUCAGUUUGGUUUGGUCCGUCUCAGUCAAAAUGAUGCCAUUGAUGUACAUAAUUCUUGCAAUUUAGUUCUGACUCUCGAGUGGCAAUAUAUGUGCGACAAUUACUGAUUCUUGAAUGUACUGUUUUCCUGUAUUUGUGCUGCAUGAAUGUGUCAUAUUAAGUGGAAAAGACUCAUGGUUUCUGAUCAUGGCUGGUGUGCUCUGUUUUAAACUUUUUUUAUUUUUUGUUUGACAACAGACAACUGGUUCCCUCUAUUUCUGGGCAACUCAUCUUGCUGCCCGAUCUGGGGUCAGCGUUGCUUGCUUGCUUUUCUCCCAUAGUCCCGUAGAUGAGUGUCGCCGCCGUCUUCGCCUUGGCUAUCAGAUGCGUCGACGUUGUCAUCGCGUGUGCCACGGACCAGUCAGUGGACGCUGAUGCUUUGGCGUAUCUGAUGUGGCAGUCGUACCAAGUCUGCUCCAAGUCACGGGUGCAGUAACUACCCGUUUUUUUUUUCAAUCUUCCUCCUCAUGCUUGUGCGUUGGGAUGCACCUUUUGCCUAGCCGGUGACUUGAAACUUAUUUGGGGAUGGAAGUAGCAAACUGAUGCAGAUAGUUUCAUAGUUUUGGCGUAUUUAGUGUCAAAUCUGUUUUGACUGCUUCAAAUUUUAAAAGAGGCAACCACAGUGUUCUUCUUCUAUUUUUUUAUUUAAUAUGUGUCUGAUUGACCUGCUUGGUUGUGGCUUGUACAACUUUCUAUUCUCCAUUAACCCUUUGAUUUAUGUAUGUUGAUCUUUCUCAGUUCUUUGAACCUCUAACUACUGAAGCUGAAAAUGAAGUUCAUGAUUGUUUGUAUGGCAACGGUUCAGGGUACGCUUCAUGACAUGCUUGCAUCUUGUUUGAAGCUUCCUAUGUGCCUUGCUAACACAACUCAACAUUGCUCCUUUUCACUUACAGUAGCAAAAUCCUGGUGCUGCAUGAACCGUCUAACAUUCAGGUUAGCAGGGGGGAAAAUCAGUGUUUGAGACCACAUGGCAGGUUAAAUGACGAGCUAAAUAUUCAUCUUACAUGUACUAAACCAUCCUUAUUGAUUGCAAACAUGUAAACUUUGCACUGAUGUUUUUAUACCUAAUGGGGAAAGUGGGAUCCCUUGUCUUCAGGUCAAUAAUUUGUACCUUGAAUUGUUAAAGGAGAGGGGAAUAAAAAAAACCAAAAGGUUCUCUAAAUGCAGCUUCUUCAAUACAUUUUAUUGACAGUUGAUGGAUGGAUCCAGUAGGCCUUGGUAGUGCUAAGCGUGUUUGAAUCCACUAUUGCUAAGCGUGUUUGAAACCACUAUUGCUUGAGUCGUUCUUCCGGUCUCCCAUUGGUACGUGGGGCGUACCCCAUGUAACAUUAUGUUUCUCUGAUAAAUUUACUGAUGUGCAGGUCGGACCAUUCCGAGAAUCAGACUUGCCAAUAUGAGAGGUUAAAUGCAAGAAACGAGAAUAAGGUGAAUACGCUGAGCGGUUUCACGCCUUUCUUUGAUAUUUCUGUGGUAUUUUUUUUCCCAUUCACUCCUUGUGAAAAUGAAAUCUGUUAUUUGGACUAAAAUUCAUAUCUGCAUCUACCAUUAUACUUAUCAUCGUGUAACAUUAUGGGGACAAAUGCAAAAGUUGUUUCUGUUUUUCAUCCAUCUCUACGUUUUCUGAAUAAUACUUUUUUUCCUUAGCAUAAACAACAGAGAAGCCCUCUGCACUGAACAAAAAAUGUAUUGAGUUAAAACCUAUAUCUGCCAAAUACGAAUAAUUGUCAUCAAAUCAUGUACAGUGCUUGGAUUUUAUUUACCGAGAAGACCGUCAUUGUUGUGUAUACACUUCAUCAUUUUUUUCAUUGAUGUUGGCUGCAAAUGUUUGACAUGAAUUAAGAUUUCUAAUAUGUAUUCCAGUGAUGUUUUUUUAACAUUGUCAGGAAGUAGUUUUCUUUGAUGACGAAGAUACAAAACCCGCUGAAUCCGUUGAUGUCAAGGUGGCUAAUAAAUGUCAAAUUGGUAACACGAUAAGUGAUAAUAAUUUUGCCUACUAACAUUUCAUCACUAUAUGUUGUAAAAUAGUGACCAAUCAUAAAAUGUAGUACUAAUUUGCAUUGUUGGAUAGAGGGUCCGUUGGUAUUACAGGUGGUGGUGGAUGAAGGGGAUAGUGUCACUAGAAAUGGAGGUGCACAUGAGAACUAUUUUCAUAGAUUUUUUUGAAGUUACUAAAUUGUGUAUGAUAAGACAAGAUGAGACUUUUGAACGACAAUAGUGCUAGAGGAUGGGCGGAUCAAAAGAAUGAAAGUGGAGGAAAAGUAAAGGUAGGGAGAAAGAUGACGCUUUGUCUUUUUGUAGGAGGAGGAUGGUUACCGAUGCUGGACGACUACCGGGGAAGAAAGAAGCGGAAUAGAGAGUUGUUACUGCUCAUUAUAUUGACGACCUGUUGUUAGACCCUGCAUCGCUGCUCCCGCCAAAGCGUGCUUCUCUUUUGACAGCAGAGAAGUCUCAAGGUGGAAGAUUUGACAAUUGAGAUGCUAGGGAACACAAGAACCGGGUGCUAUCAGCGACUGACACCUGGCGAGCAGUUGAGGUAGCCAGGAGCCAUCCUUGAGAAAAGAUUGGUGCUGGAAUACAGUGGAAGGAGCCUCUGUCGCGGGAUGCCGAUCAGGUGACUGGUGUGGGAAUUGGCAGUUCUCAGUCAACGCAGGAUGGCAUGAUAAAAGAAGUUGUUAGCACCGAGCCACCGAUCGACGAGAAGAUGGAUUUCGUGAUCCGGGCGAUAGCAAGGAUGCUUAAGAGCAUGAUGGACAAGGGACAGACGGAAAAGAGUUGCAGGAUGGAGAAGGGAUGAAUGAAAAGGAGUAUAGCAGGAAGCAAGUUAUAACAAAUAUGGAUCUGGUGCAUCAGAGAAUAACAUUGCUGGAACACAUAUUGCUGCAAGCUUACAUCUUCUUUCAAAAAGGUAAAAUUUAUUAGAGAAGACCAAUCUAUUGCUUGACAAAGACGAUCAAGCCCUUUCCCCUUCUAAGGGUGGUGGUAUAUUACUGGAAGUCCAUGAAUCCCCUUCUAAGCGGGUAAAUUACUGGAAGAAUAUGUAUCAUGGAUACAUACCUGACAUGUCUGGGUCAUCUUAUUUAAAUGUAGGACACAAAAUUAACCUAGGAACGAACCUUGUUCCAGCACAUCUAUAUUACUACUACUCAGUAUCUAACCUUUUGUGUGUGGGAAAACACAGUAUGUAAACUGAUACUUCGUAUGAAGGUAAAAUAUUUGUGCAUUGAAUGAACUGAGAAUAGAGGUGAUAUUAUUUUUUGUAACAAUCGAAGUUAUUCGAUGACUUCUCCCGAAGACACUGCAGCCAUCUUAAUAGGAAAACUCGAUCAGACUUACCCAGAGUAUGCUAUUCUCUCUCUAACAAUAAUUAACUUUUGUAAGGAGACAUUACCGGGAUGUAAGGAGACUUACCCAGGGUAUGUUUUCUCUCUCUCUCUAACAAUAAUUAUUUUGUGUACUACUUAGAGAACUGGUUAAAUGUUUUGUACUGCUCGAUCACAGAUAUCAUAUUUAUGUGGUAAGAAAGGAAUUGUUAGCUGAAACAAAUAAUGUUGUAUAUUGGUGUCAUGUAGGUGACUGCACGGCAAUGGGUGUCAUGUAGAAACUACAUAUUGUGUGUUUGAUAUUUAUUCUGAAUUUAACUCUUUGUUGAUAACUUUUCUUUUUAUUUGUGAAGAAUUUAUUCACAUCCUGUAUCAUGAGCAAAUUAUUUUGACAUAUAUAAAUAUAUUUUCUAGACGCGGAUUAUAUUUCAAGAUCUAUGAUAGAAACUGCUAGAGCAUCUUUGACAAUUGGAUUUUUUUUCAGUUACUCUUUUUAUGGGUUUUGUAAGCUCUGUUGAUAGUGAUGGUGAGUUAAGCUCAUUCGGAGGUAAAUACAGAAAACUGAGAUAAGAUACUAUCACUUGCUUUUAUGUGUUACGGUUAUGGUUUUUAUGUGACUGAUUAGGAGGGUGCAAAUUGGGACAACUUUCUUUCAACCAUCUGAAUGUUGUGAUACAUGACUGUGAAAGGAUCGGAUACACCACAUACACCAGGUAAACAACAUGUACCUAUCUGAUUUCACACUUGCGCUCAAGUCCCAUUUUAAAAAUAUGUUUCUUCGCAACCUGGUUGACACCAAUGCGCUCAAGUCACUUUAUUUAGUCGAAACAUGAAACAGCUCAACUGAAGAGAAGAACAUGAUUUUUUUCCAUAAGAAGAUGGGCAACUAUCUUUAUAAUCAGUAUCUAAUAUUCUUGAUUUAUAAUUUAUC